rnacentral:lncRNA from 1 species
AGUUGAUGUGGUUGCCUUGGGGAUCGGACAGCCUGGCCCAGGUGAGAAGUCUCAAUUAGGUGAGUUUCCCCGGCCUGGGGAAUGUAGGCCAAAGAUGUACAAGCUGCAACCCAUGCACAAGACGAUCCAAAGUUGCAAAACGUUGGAAGAAACCCGGCCUGGAACUGCAAGAUGGCAACUUCCGCAGCCUCCUGGGUCACCUGGAAACCCGAAGGAGGUCGGAGCUGCUGAGCCUGGAGCUGCUUGUGUCUGACAGAAUCCACCUUUCUUCAUACUUGAGCGAGCAGCAUCGAUGCUAACAGCAAAUGGCAUCUCCUCAUCUCAGCUUGUCCUUCAGGGGGACACACAGUAAAAUCACCCACAAAGAGCACACAAGGAGUCACCAGCCUGUAAAUCAGUCUCUGUUCCAGCUGUCUGCAUUCCCAAAGGCACUGGUCCUGAGCUUUGCCUGAGAUUACACUACGCUGAGCUCAAAGGUCAGUCUCUCCAGGGUCCUUUCUCUUCUUGGAGCUUAUGGGCUCUGGUAGGGCAGAAGCAGAAAGCACUUUGGCCUCCUUCAGGAUUAUUAAACGAUUCUCAUGUCACAGUUCAGAGAAAAGCACUUUGUACUCCAAGAUAAGAAUGGCAGUAUCAACCUCCUGGUUGUGUUUAAAACAAUAAAACCUUGAUCAUUGCUCAUAAACCUGGACUCUAUCAAGGGCAGGUCUGUGCGUUUUUCUGUACCUGCAUUCUCCGUUAUGAGGACUUGUGACUUUUAUCAUGAACAUGAUGACCACGGGUGCCUACAGUUCCUCUGUUUCUGACACAAGGCUGCAAAUUUACAGACCUUCACAGGUUUUUGCUUUUCCAUCAAAUUUAUUUUCAGUUAAGCCUUCUCAGGCACUCAUCAGGUGAACUGACCUUUCAGGAAUGCAUCCGCCUCUGAGUCAAGCCUGGAGAGGUGGCCCAGUGGGUGACAGAUUUUCCAUGCCAGCUUGGCUAGCUGAAUUCGAUCCAACAGAUGGAAAGAACUGACUUUUAAAGUGUUGCCCUUUGACCUCCACAUACGUGUAAAGCCAUGUACACACACACACAUAUGCACACACACAUGCACGCACACACGCCACAUGCACAAUUUUAAAAUAAAGCAAGGUUAAAAGGAUUAAAA